CGGCAGCGCGGACUUCGGUCUGGCGGCGAGUGGCGAACGGGUGAGUAAUACAUCGGAACGUGUCCUGUAGUGGGGGAUAGCCCGGCGAAAGCCGGAUUAAUACCGCAUACGCUCUACGGAGGAAAGGGGGGGAUCUUAGGACCUCUCGCUACAGGGGCGGCCGAUGGCAGAUUAGCUAGUUGGUGGGGUAAAGGCCUACCAAGGCGACGAUCUGUAGCUGGUCUGAGAGGACGACCAGCCACACUGGGACUGAGACACGGCCCAGACUCCUACGGGAGGCAGCAGUGGGGAAUUUUGGACAAUGGGCGCAAGCCUGAUCCAGCAAUGCCGCGUGUGUGAAGAAGGCCUUCGGGUUGUAAAGCACUUUUGUCCGGAAAGAAAUCCUUUGGCCUAAUACGUCGGGGGGAUGACGGUACCGGAAGAAUAAGCACCGGCUAACUACGUGCCAGCAGCCGCGGUAAUACGUAGGGUGCAAGCGUUAAUCGGAAUUACUGGGCGUAAAGCGUGCGCAGGCGGUUCGCUAAGACAGAUGUGAAAUCCCCGGGCUUAACCUGGGAACUGCAUUUGUGACUGGCGGGCUAGAGUAUGGCAGAGGGGGGUAGAAUUCCACGUGUAGCAGUGAAAUGCGUAGAGAUGUGGAGGA
rnacentral:rRNA from 1 species